rnacentral:rRNA from 1 species
AGUGAACGCUGGCGGUAGGCCUAACACAUGCAAGUCAAACGGCAGCACAGUAAGAGCUUGCUCUUACGGGUGGCGAGUGGCGGACGGGUGAGGAAUACAUCGGAAUCUACUUUUUCGUGGGGGAUAACGUAGGGAAACUUACGCUAAUACCGCAUACGACCUACGGGUGAAAGCAGGGGAUCUUCGGACCUUGCGCGAUUGAAUGAGCCGAUGUCGGAUGAGCUAGUUGGCGGGGUAAAGGCCCACCAAGGCGACGAUCCGUAGCUGGUCUGAGAGGAUGAUCAGCCACACUGGAACUGAGACACGGUCCAGACCCCUACGGGAGGCAGCAGUGGGGAAUAUUGGACAAUGGGCGCAAGCCUGAUCCAGCCAGACCGCGUGGGUGAAGAAGGCCUUCGGGUUGUAAAGCCCUUUUGUUGGGAAAGAAAAGCAGCAGGUUAAUACCCCGCUGUUCGGACGGUACCCAAAGAAUAAGCACCGGCUAACUGCGG